GACGAACGCUGGCGGCGUGCUUAACACAUGCAAGUCGAACGGUGAAGCGCCUUCCUUUUUAGUGGGUGUGGAUGAGUGGCGAACGGGUGAGUAACACGUGAGUAACCUGCCCCCUUCUUCUGGAUAACCGCAUGAAAGUGUGGCUAAUACGGGAUAUUCUGGGUCUGUCGCAUGAUGGGUCUGGGAAAGAUAUUGUUUCGGUGGGGGAUGGGCUCGCGGCCUAUCAGCUUGUUGGUGGGGUGAUGGCCUACCAAGGCGGUGACGGGUAGCCGGCCUGAGAGGGUGGACGGUCACACUGGGACUGAGACACGGCCCAGACUCCUACGGGAGGCAGCAGUGGGGAAUAGUGCACAAUGGGCGCAAGCCUGAUGCAGCGACGCCGCGUGAGGGAUGGAGGCCUGCGGGUUGUGAACCUCUUUCGCCAGUGAAGCAGGCCUGCCUCGUUUGUGGGUGGGUUGACGGUAGCUGGAUAAGAAGCGCCGGCUAACUACGUG
rnacentral:rRNA from 1 species